UUGUGCAGCCGACCAAGGGAAGAAAAAUGAGAAAAAGAGGGUUUGUGUUAUUUUUCAUGGAAAUUGCUUGAAAAAUCAAAAACAAAGUGUAAGAUAGAAAGAGUGUUGAGUAAUUAAAGAGAGGGUUGAUACAUUAAGGAGACUUACAAGGAGUUUGAAGAUUUUAAACUUGUUUUAGCUAUUGAUUCUUCAUUCCUUAAGGGAGAGGUUGGAGGCUCCAGACAGCAGCAGGGAGUUACUAGUCAAGCAUCACCAGCAGGACCCUCGCAGCAGUAUGAUAGAUCCUGCUUGAAUAUAUGCUACUUUUGUGUAUUUAUUUUGAUCAACAUGUAUUUUGAGAAUUAUGAAUGAUGUAAAAGAGUUGAAUGAACCUUUAUAUUUGUAGAACAAAGCUUUUAUAUGUAAUUAAUGUGUAUGUCAUACUUAAGAAUAUCUUUAUUUUAAAUUAAGUAUUUGUAUUCUAA